AUUGAACGCUGGCGGCAGGCCUAACACAUGCAAGUCGAGCGGUAGCACAGGAGAGCUUGCUCUCUGGGUGACGAGCGGCGGACGGGUGAGUAAUGUCUGGGAAACUGCCUGAUGGAGGGGGAUAACUACUGGAAACGGUAGCUAAUACCGCAUAACGUCGCAAGACCAAAGAGGGGGACCUUCGGGCCUCUUGCCAUCAG
rnacentral:rRNA from 1 species